rnacentral:rRNA from 1 species
AAUACCUUUGCUCAUUGACGUUACCCGCAGAAGAAGCACCGGCUAACUCCGUGCCAGCAGCCGCGGUAAUACGGAGGGUGCAAGCGUUAAUCGGAAUUACUGGGCGUAAAGCGCACGCAGGCGGUUUGUUAAGUCAGAUGUGAAAUCCCCGGGCUCAACCUGGGAACUGCAUCUGAUACUGGCAAGCUUGAGUCUCGUAGAGGGGGGUAGAAUUCCAGGUGUAGCGGUGAAAUGCGUAGAGAUCUGGAGGAAUACCGGUGGCGAAGGCGGCCCCCUGGACGAAGACUGACGCUCAGGUGCGAAAGCGUGGGGAGCAAACAGGAUU